AUUUCAAGCUCUCCAUUGUACCCAUCUUUGGCUUUUCCUUCUUCUUCUUGCUACGGGUUGGGAGAGCAACAAACUUAUUCGACCACCAGUAAAGGAAACAGAUAGUAAGUCCCAUCAACACCACAAUGCUCAUCAUUCCUUUGAGGGAGAUGGCCCAGCCAUCAACUCCAGGACCCAAAUUUUUUCUCAAAUUAGAGAAAUACUUCACUGUUCGGCCGGAGAAAAUUAGGGCAAUGUUUGCCCCAAGUCCAAACAAAGGGUAGAAUCUUUUUGCUUCAUCUACAGUAGUGAUCUGAUUGGCAAAUCCCCAGAAAAGCACUGAAAUCACCACACUCCCCCACAAUUCAGCCAUAACAUAGAACAAACAGAAAGUCCAAAUCCUCAUAAUUGCAAU
rnacentral:misc_RNA from 1 species